rnacentral:misc_RNA from 1 species
UUUCCGUAGGUGAACCUGCGGAAGGAUCAUUAUUGUAUAACCGACGCGCAAGGGCUGUCGCUCACCCCUUAGUUCGUGCACGCCCGAGCGCCCUCACACACAUCCAUCUCACCCCUCUGCGCACCACCGCGUGGGCCACCCUUUCGCUUUUUCGCAGGUGGGCUUAAGAAUCCAAACAAUCUAUGCAUGCAACGACGAAUGUAUUUUUUGUUUUUUCGAUCACGCACUCAACAAAACUUACAACAACGGAUCUCUACGCCCGCGCAUCGAUGAAGAACC